CUUCAUUUUACUGUGCCUUUUAAAAUUCCUAUCCAACUCCACUGCAUGUACCCAAGCUUCCGCCUCCAACUUCACCACACUUCCUCUGCUGCCACUUUGUUUGUGAACAUUGCUGGCCCUGCUGUAUGCGUGACCACUGUGCCCAAAAGGAUGGUGAGAGAACGGUAUGAAAUCUGAAAACAAGAGUAUCAUCUUUCUUACUGUAACCCAGGUCUGGUUGUGGAUCAGGAUGCUUUGGUGGAAGCCCUUCAGAAAAAAGUUAUUAAGGCAGCCGCUUUGGAUGUGACGUAUCCUGAACCCUUGCCAAGGAAUCACCCCUUGUUAAAGCUGAAGAAUAUUAUAAUAACUCCUCACAUUGGAAGCGCCACCAAAAAGACACGCCGCCUAAUGAUGGAAGACAUGACAGAAAGCAUACAAGCAGGUCUUAUAGGUCUUCCUAUCCCUAAUGAAGUAUUACUGUAAAGCGGCCUCCAUUUAAUGUGUCAUUAGUGUUUGUCCUGGUGUGAUGAAACAGUAAUUUGAUCACUCUUCAUGCAAUUAUGCCUGGUGUGUAUAUACAGAUCAAAUAUAAUCAUUCUGGUUUCAGCUGGGUAGAGUUAAUUUCCUUCCUAGUAGCUGGUGCAGUGCUGUGUUCUAGCUUUAGUCUGAGAACAAUGCUGAUAACACACCGAUGUUUUAGUUGUUGCUCAGUAGCACACACUUACUCCGAUCACGAUUUUUCAGUCUCUCACGCUCUGCCAGUGCGGAGGGGCACAAGAAGCUGGGAGGGAGCAGAGACAAGACACGUGACCCAAACUAACCAAAGGGGUAUUCCAUAUCACAGCACGUCAUUCCCAGUAUAUAAACUGGGGGGUGUCACCUGGAAGGGGCUGAAGACUGCUCAGGUUGGGCUGAAUAUCAGUUGGCAGUUGGUGAGCAAUUGCAUUGUGCCUCACUGCUGUUUACUGGGUUUUUUUCUUUCCCCUUCUAGUUUUGUCUUUUCUCCCCUUGUUAUUUUCCUUAUCAUUAUUAGUAGUACUAUUCUAUUGUACUUUAGUUAUUAAACUGUUCUUAUCUCAA